UGUGCCACGGCGCACAGCUCUGGAGAGAUGGGCAGGGCGUGCGUCAGGAGGCGGUGCUUAGCCUUCCCGGCACGCCUCCGGAAUGAUCAGGCGGCCCCACCCCCCGCUCGGGGCGGGAGACCGGUGAUCCACAGCCCUUUGUACCACAGGGCGUUUCAGGAGGCAAUGCUUGGCCGCUCGGACACGCCUCUGGGGCCAGACCCACCCACAGGCCGGCAGCGAGCGAACCACCAUGCUUUGUGCCACUGUGAGCAUAGCUCAAGAAAGGCGUGAGUCGGGGAACUAAGUAGAAACGCCUCCUCCAGGGCUGAGCUCCGCCCCUAGGCUGGCGUGCUGCGUACUCCCCCAAUACUCUUGGGGGUGAGGCGUUCGUCUACUUUAUACACCCGGAGGAGGGCUGGCUCCGCCCCCAGAAGGGACGGUUACUAGCAGAAUGCAGACGGUGCUCUGCAUCUUUUUGUCAAGGGACGGUGUUCUGAUCCACGAACCCUCCCUCGGAGAGGUCGGCCCCCUCCGGGCCAGGGUCCUGCAAACAACCUCUCCUGAGCUUGAGGAAAGGCAAGAACCGUUUCCAAACCCAGGUGAUUCGGCCACGCCCCCAAGUUAAGGUUCCGCCCUGUACGUUCCCAGCACUGUGAUGGCCACCAGCCCUGAGAACAGCACAGCUCCAGCCAGGCUCAGGGAGAGUGCCAAGAUCCAGGGACCGAGAGAGGAGGCACAGCAACCACAUGGUGGCUCACAACCAUCUGUAAUGAGAUCUGACGCCCUCUUCUGGUGUGUCUGAA